rnacentral:rRNA from 1 species
GGCGAGUGAAGCGGCAAAAGCUCAAAUUUGAAAUCCUGCGGGAAUUGUAAUUUGAAGGUUUCGUGGUCUGAGUCGGCCGCGCCCAAGUCCAUUGGAACAUGGCGCCUGGGAGGGUGAGAGCCCCGUAUGGCGCACGCCGACUCUUUGCACCGCGGCUCCGACGAGUCGAGUUGUUUGGGAAUGCAGCUCUAAGUGGGUGGUAAAUUCCAUCUAAAGCUAAAUAUUGGCGAGAGACCGAUAGCGAACAAGUACAGUGAUGGAAAGAUGAAAAGCACUUUGAAAAGAGAGUGAAACAGCACGUGAAAUUGUUGAAAGGGAAGGGCUUGCAAGCAGACACGGUUUUACCGGGCCAGCGUCGAAAAGGGGGGAGGAACAAGAACUCGAGAAUGUGGCGCGCACCUUCGGGCGCGCGUGUUAUAGCUCGUGUUGACGCCUCCAUCCCUUUUCGAGGCCUGCGAUUCUAGGACGCUGGCGUAAUGGUUGCAAGCCGCCCGUCUUGA